UACGGGGGGGGCAAGCGUUGUUCGGAAUUACUGGGCGUAAAGGGCUCGUAAGCGGCCAACUAAGUCAGACGUGAAAUCCCUCGGCUUAACCGGGGAACUGCGUCUGAUACUGGAUGGCUAGAGGUUGGGAUAGGGAUGCGGAAUUCCAGGUGUAGCGGUGAAAUGCGUAGAUAUUGGAAGGAACAUCAGUGGCGAAGGCGACUUUCUGGACAGAUACUGACACUGAGGCACGAAAGCGUGGGGAGCAAACAGG
rnacentral:rRNA from 1 species